AUCAGAAGGUACUAGAGUUAGCGGAAAUGAAAGAGAACUUUGAAAGAGCAGAAGAAACUUGCCGUGGUCUACAGCUUCAAAAUAAUCAGAAGAUGUUAGAGUUGGAGAAAAUUAAAGAGAACUUUGAAAGAGUUGAAGUGAAUUGCAGUGGUCUACAGCUUCAAAAUAGUGAAUUAAAUCUAGAACUUAAUAGAGCCAACACUAGAAAUAGAUCUACUGCAACUGGGAAAGGU